CGGACGGGUGAGUAACACGUGGAUAACCUACCUAUAAGACUGGGAUAACUUCGGGAAACCGGAGCUAAUACCGGAUAAUAUAUUGAACCGCAUGGUUCAAUAGUGAAAGACGGUUUUGCUGUCACUUAUAGAUGGAUCCGCGUCGCAUUAGCUAGUUGGUAAGGUAACGGCUUACCAAGGCAACGAUGCGUAGCCGACCUGAGAGGGUGAUCGGCCACACUGGAACUGAGACACGAUCCAGACUCCUACGGGAGGCAGCAGAC
rnacentral:rRNA from 1 species